AGAGUUUGAUCCUGGCUCAGGACGAACGCUGGCGGCGUGCCUAAUACAUGCAAGUCGAGCGAGGGUCUUCGGACCCUAGCGGCGGACGGGUGAGUAACACGUAGGCAACCUGCCUGUAAGACUGGGAUAACAUAGGGAAACUUAUGCUAAUACCGGAUAGAGUGUUUCCUCGCAUGAGGAGAUACGGAAAGAUGGCGCAA
rnacentral:rRNA from 1 species